GCCCCUUUUGGUCAAGCAUGGCCCAGGGUCAGAUGUUACAUGGGCCGGGUGUGCCAGGCCGGGCCGCUCGUUGGCCCAGGUUCACUUCCUGCUUCCUUCUCCCCUUCCUUCGUCUCUCUCGUCGUCGUCAGAGUUGAGAAUCCCCCCAUUCCGCAAGCCGCGCCAGGGUUUUGCUGCUCCGGGCAGAGGAAGGGAAGCGGCGCGAUGGCGGUGGCCGACCUGGCGUUCAAGGCGCUGACGGCGGGGCUGGGCGUCGCCACGCUCUAUCUGGCGGGCACCUUCUCCGUCAACGUCUACCGCGGCCUCGCGUGGCACUCCGAGCAAUCCAAGCUAGAAAAGGCGAAAACCGAGGAUUGAAAAGGAUCAGCAGGCUAUUUUAGAUGGCAGACGCAAGCAACCAAAAGGAGCAACGAAAGGAAGGAGCCUUUUUUGUUGAUGGGCGAUCAUUUGUGUUUAUUGUAUUUGGUUGUGUAGACCUUUCAAGUUCCCCAAGGAAAAUUUGCUAUGCUAAUAAAAGGCAAAUUUGCUAUACUCCAAAAGCAUGAAGUGAUCCCUGUAGUUCAGUAUCCUUGUAAGUCCGAAUACAUGUGAUUAUUGCUAAGAAGCAGAGCACAGAAGUGGAUCAAGAUUUCAAGAGAAGCCACAAAAUACUGGACAAAUUUGUAUUCCACAUUAGAAUUAUAAAUCCUUUGCACUGAAACUCGAAAGAAGUGAGGGGGACACUUGUGCGAAAAA